GGUGAGUAACACGUGGGUAACCUGCCCAUCAGAAGGGGAUAACACUUGGAAACAGGUGCUAAUACCGUAUAACAAUCGAAACCGCAGGUUUUGAUUUGAAAGGCGCUUUCGGGUGUCGCUGAUGGAUGGACCCGCGGUGCAUUAGCUAGUUGGUGAGGUAACGGCUCACCAAGGCGACGAUGCAUAGCCGACCUGAGAGGGUGAUCGGCCACAUUGGGACUGAGACACGGCCCAAACUCCUACGGGAGGCAGCAGUAGGGAAUCUUCGGCAAUGGACGAAAGUCUGACCGAGCAACGCCGCGUGAGUGAAGAAGGUUUUCGGAUCGUAAAACUCUGUUGUUAGAGAAGAACAAGGAUGAGAGUAACUGUUCAUCCCUUGACGGUAUCUAACCAGAAAGCCACGGCUAACUACGUGCCAGCAGCCGCGGUAAUACGUAGGUGGCAAGCGUUGUCCGGAUUUAUUGGGCGUAAAGCGAGCGCAGGCGGUUUCUUAAGUCUGAUGUGAAAGCCCCCGGCUCAACCGGGGAGGGUCAUUGGAAACUGGGAGACUUGAGUGCAGAAGAGGAGAGUGGAAUUCCAUGUGUAGCGGUGAAAUGCGUAGAUAUAUGGAGGAACACCAGUGGCGAAGGCGGCUCUCUGGUCUGUAACUGACGCUCAGGCUCGAAAGCGUG
rnacentral:rRNA from 1 species